rnacentral:rRNA from 1 species
CAGUUGGAAACAGCUGCUAAUACCGGAUAUGAGACGUGACCGCAUGGUCGACGUUUGGAAAGAAUUUCGGUCAGGGAUGAGCUCGCGGCCUAUCAGCUUGUUGGUGAGGUAAUGGCUCACCAAGGCGUCGACGGGUAGCCGGCCUGAGAGGGUGACCGGCCACACUGGGACUGAGACACGGCCCAGACUCCUACGGGAGGCAGCAGUGGGGAAUAUUGCACAAUGGGCGAAAGCCUGAUGCAGCAACGCCGCGUGAGGGACGACGGCCUUCGGGUUGUAAACCUCUUUUAGCAGGGAAGAAGCGAAAGUGACGGUACCUGCAGAAAAAGCGCCGGCUAACUACGUGCCAGCAGCCGCGGUAAUACGUAGGGCGCAAGCGUUAUCCGGAAUUAUUGGGCGUAAAGAGCUCGUAGGCGGUUUGUCGCGUCUGCUGUGAAAACUGGAGGCUCAACCUCCAGCCUGCAGUGGGUACGGGCAGACUAGAGUGCGGUAGGGGAGAUUGGAAUUCCUGGUGUAGCGGUGGAAUGCGCAGAUAUCAGGAGGAACACCGAUGGCGAAGGCAGAUCUCUGGGCCGUAACUGACGCUGAGGAGCGAAAGGGUGGGGAGCAAACAGGCUUAGAUACCCUGGUAGUCCACCCCGUAAA